rnacentral:lncRNA from 10 species
GAAAAGCGCAGUAUUCGGGUGGGAGCGAGCCGAUUUUCCAGGUGCCGUCCGUCACCCCUUUCUUUGACUAGGAAAGGGAACUCCCUGACCCCUUGCGCUUCCGGAGUGAGGCAAUGCCUCGCCCUGCUUCGGCUCGCGCACGGUGCACGCACCCACUGACCUGCGCCCACUGUGUGGCACUCCCUAGUGAGAUGAACCCGGUACCUCAGAUGGAAAUGCAGAAAUCACCCGUCUUCUGCGUGGCUCACGCUGGGAGCUGUAGACCGGAGCUGUUCCUAUUCGGCCAUCUUGGCUCCUGGAUCUCUGUGUCAACCUUCUUUUAUUUUUAAAAGAUAUUCACUGUCUCUUACUAAAGCUUCCUGUUCAAAGUCUGGCUGAGAAUUUUUGCUGCUUCUUUCCCUACCUCCUCAUUUCCGAAGGAGGUACCUUUCUGGCUUCUCUGUUGAACAUUUCCUAAAUAAAGUGUGGAUGAAAAGCAAUAGAGGAAGGAAAUGCAGAAAAUUAUAAGGCUGAAAUAGAAACUGGCCACAGCAGAGAUUAAAGGUUGUUUUGUUUUGAGGCCUGGUCGCAAUUGUUGAUGUCACUAUAUGUAUUUUGGAAAACAGACACAAGCAUGCAUCUAUAGAUUUAACUUUUUUCUCGGAGGAAGAACUUACUGGCUAUGGUACUAUAUUGUGAAAGCCAAGGUUCUUCAUUAAUUUAGACAACUUAAGGGUAUCCUGAGGAGAUGAGAUCAGGACCUUCAGAUUACGAGACUCACGCCCUGCUGGCUGCGCUAAGAGGGCUCCUGAGGAGAUGAGAUCAAACAUAGGAAGAAAAAUGGAGUCUCCAAGAUGUCCACAUUUGAAUCUCUGGAACCUGUGAAUAUGUUACUUUAUAUGGCAAAAGGAACUUUGCAGGUGUGAGAAAAGUUGAGGACCUUGAGAUGGGGAGAUCAUCCUGGAUUAUUUGAAUAAGCCCAAAUUCAUCAAAUGAAUUCUUAAAAGAACCUUUCCUCUGAGAUGAGAGUCUGAGGGAGAUGUGGCUAUGGAAGAAUGGUCAGAGAGCAAUGCAAAGCUGCUGGCUGUGAAGAUGGAAGAAGGGGCCAUAAGCCAAGAAAUAUGGUUGGUUUCUAGGAGCUGGAAGAGGCAAGAAGACAUAUUCUCCUCUAGACCCUCCAGAAGAAAUGCAGCCUCACUGACACCUUAAUUUUAGCCCUGAAAGACCCAUUUCAGAACUCUGACCUACAGAACUGUAAGAUUAUGCUGUUUCAAAAUUGAUUAGUUCUCUGACUCGCACACUGAAAUCAUCCAACCUAUUGAAAAAGCAGAAUGGGAUGUGGAUUAUAGGGUUUCAGAUAACACCAAGUCCCUAGUGAAAGAAACAAUCCUGAGAUUCACUCUGAAUGCAAGCCUUUACUCAAGUCACGUGCUCAAGGCAGAGCCAAUCACUGAUUAGCUGGAUGGAAUGUGCCGAUUGGUUUAACAUAGGUUGCAUAUUUGACUCUUGGAGUUGGAGAUGAUAAGUGCUUCCCUUGAACCACCUGCAUCUUCGAAU